AGAGUUUGAUCCUGGCUCAGAUUGAACGCUGGCGGCAGGCCUAACACAUGCAAGUCGAGCGGUAGAGAGAAGCUUGCUUCUCUUGAGAGCGGCGGACGGGUGAGUAAUGCCUAGGAAUCUGCCUGGUAGUGGGGGAUAACGUUCGGAAACGGACGCUAAUACCGCAUACGUCCUACGGGAGAAAGCAGGGGACCUCCGGGCCUUGCGCUAUCAGAUGAGCCUAGGUCGGAUUAGCUAGUUGGUGGGGUAAUGGCUCACCAAGGCGACGAUCCGUAACUGGUCUGAGAGGAUGAUCAGUCACACUGGAACUGAGACACGGUCCAGACUCCUACGGGAGGCAGCAGUGGGGAAUAUUGGACAAUGGGCGAAAGCCUGAUCCAGCCAUGCCGCGUGUGUGAAGAAGGUCUUCGGAUUGUAAAGCACUUUAAGUUGGGAGGAAGGGUUGUAGAUUAAUACUCUGCAAUUUUGACGUUACCGACAGAAUAAGCACCGGCUAACUCUGUGCCAGCAGCCGCGGUAAUACAGAGGGUGCAAGCGUUAACCGGAAUUACUGGGCGUAAAGCGCGCGUAGGUGGUUAGUUAAGUUGGAUGUGAAAUCCCCGGGCUCAACCUGGGAACUGCAUUCAAAACUGACUGACUAGAGUAUGGUAGAGGGUGGUGGAAUUUCCUGUGUAGCGGUGAAAUGCGUAGAUAUAGGAAGGAACACCAGUGGCGACGCGACCRCCUGGACUGAUACUGACACUGAGGUGCGAAAGCGUGUGGAGCAAACACGAUUAGAUACCCUGGUAGUCC
rnacentral:rRNA from 1 species